rfam:Mesocricetus auratus contig115413, whole genome shotgun sequence.
GGAUGUCAGGACGAUCUGGCCGUGACAUCUGCCACCCCCAUUGAUUGCCAGGGUUGAUUUGGCUGAUCUGGCUGGCUAGGCAGGUGUCCCUUCCUCCCUCACUGCUCCAUAUGCACCCCUCCUGUCCUUCCCCAAAAGAGGAAUACUGGUCUUCAGUCCAGGGUAUAUGAGUAGCUGUACUCCCCUGCUAGAACCUUCAAACAAGCUCUCAAAGAUGAGUGUUGUCUGGUAUUAUUAGUAUUGUUUGUUU